GACGGACCGUACGAACGUUAUUCGGAAUUACUGGGCUUAAAGGGUGCGUAGGCGGCUCAGAAAGUUGAAUGUGAAAGCCCUCGGCUUAACCGAGGAAUUGCAUCCAAAACUACUGGGCUUGAGUGAGACAGAGGUGAGCGGAACUCACGGUGGAGCGGUGAAAUGCGUUGAUAUCGUGAGGAACACCGGUGGCGAAAGCGGCUCACUGGGUCUUGUCUGACGCUGAGGCACGAAAGCUAGGGUAGCGAACGGG
rnacentral:rRNA from 1 species